rnacentral:rRNA from 1 species
UACGUAGGGGGCGAGCGUUGUCCGAAUUUACUGGGCGUAAAGCGCGCGUAGGCGGGCUCUUAAGUUGGUGGUGAAAUCCCGAGGCUCAACCUCGGAACUGCCUCCAAAACUGUGAGCCUUGAGGUAUGGAGAGGGAAGUGGAAUUCCAGGUGUAGCGGUGAAAUGCGUAGAUAUCUGGAGGAACACCCGUGGCGAAGGCGGCUUCCUGGUCAUAUCCUGACGCUGAGGUGCGAAAGCUAGGGGAGCGAAC